CCUACGGGUGACAGCAGUGAGGAAUAUUGGUCAAUGGGCGGAAGCCUGAACCAGCCAAGUAGCGUGCAGGAUGACGGCCCUACGGGUUGUAAACUGCUUUUAUACGGGAAUAACGCGCCUUACGUGUAGGGCUUUGCAUGUACCGUAUGAAUAAGGACCGGCUAAUUCCGUGCCAGCAGCCGCGGUAAUACGGAAGGUCCGGGGUUAUCCGGGUUUAGUGGGUUUAAAGGGAGCGUAGGGCGCAUUUCAAGCGUGCUGUGAAAUGUCCGGGGUCAACCCGGGCCGUGCAGCGCGAACUGGGGUGCUUGAGUCCGCGGAAAGCAGGCGGAAUUCGUCGUGUAGCGGUGAAAUGCUUAGAUAUGACGAAGAACCCCGAUUGCGAAGGCAGCUUGCUGCAGCGGAACUGACGCUGAUGCUCGAAAGCGCGGGUAUCGAACAGGAUUAGAUACCCUAGUAGUC
rnacentral:rRNA from 1 species